rnacentral:rRNA from 1 species
GAUGAACGCUGGCGGCGUGCCUAAUACAUGCAAGUCGAGCGAACAGACGAGGAGCUUGCUCCUCUGACGUUAGCGGCGGACGGGUGAGUAACACGUGGAUAACCUACCUAUAAGACUGGGAUAACUUCGGGAAACCGGAGCUAAUACCGGAUAAUAUAUUGAACCGCAUGGUUCAAUAGUGAAAGACGGUUUUGCUGUCACUUAUAGAUGUAUCCGCGCCGCAUUAGCUAGUUGGUAAGGUAACGGCUUACCAAGGCAACGAUGCGUAGCCGACCUGAGAGGGUGAUCGGCCACACUGGAACUGAGACACGGUCCAGACUCCUACGGGAGGCAGCAGUAGGGAAUCUUCCGCAAUGGGCGAAAGCCUGACGGAGCAACGCCGCGUGAGUGAUGAAGGUCUUCGGAUCGUAAAACUCUGUUAUUAGGGAAGAACAAAUGUGUAAGUAACUAUGCACGUCUUGACGGUACCAAAUCAGAAAGCCACGGCUAACUACGUG